CCUCUGUAAAUUGCAGGGAACUCUUCCCAGGAGCAACCUCAUUUGCUGGGAGAUGUGGUUUCCAUAAGGAUAUGAAACUAUUUCACUAUCCUGUCCUGCCAUAUGGUCACACUUAUCUGGUGACAUUCUGGACUCAGCACGAUAGAUGUGCCCUCACAUGCAAGUAUAUAGCCCUUUCUAGAAAAAUUUUAAAUUCAUUUUCUAUGAAUAAGGUCAAGCUCUUGAGAGACUCAUGAAUUCUCUAGGUUCUCAUUUUACAAGUCAACUCUUGGAAAUAUUAGUUUAAUCUACUUUACUGAAAACUCUAGGAAAACUGCUCUUCAAUUCUCUUUUCUAGUGAACAGCAUUCCAGUACUUAAUCCUUACAGACUUUCGGAGGAACUCCCUCACAUCACCCACAGUAGAAGUAACAUGAGAAAGCACACAGUCAUCUCUUGCAUCCAUGUCCUAUCCAUGCUUUUGCAUUGCUGACAAGUGACGGGUGGGCUCUGACAUCAGGAGAUGCAAAUGGCUGAUGAUUCAGACGGUUGUUUGUGGGAUGCAGACAGACCUGUGAGGCAUAUUGCAAAACACCAGCAAGAGAUCCAAGGCUCACUCCUGGGACUGACUCUGAUUAGACCCUCGCUGACCACAGUUCAAGUAGAUGAAAAGGGUGAGUGUAUUCUGAUGGAAUUCUCCUUUGGUUUUCCCUCUGGGGCUGAUGGGAGGGGACAAGUCCAUUUGUCCUGUUUUACAAGUGCGAUGUCUUUUGCUCUUAAAAAGGAAGAGCUUGCCACAUGCCAUAUACCCCACUAUUAGUCAAGCAGUGGAAAGAACUCAAUACAGACUAAAAAGUACAAUGCCCAAAGGGACAC
rnacentral:lncRNA from 1 species